GUUUUUAUAAUUUAAUUAAAAUAUUGAUUUUGUAAAUCAGACAUGAGAACCCUCUAAAAACU
rnacentral:tRNA from 1 species